rnacentral:rRNA from 1 species
GGACUACAGGGGUUUCUAAUCCUGUUCGCUCCCCUAGCUUUCGCGCCUCAGCGUCAGGUACCAGCCAGGACACUGCCUUCGCCUUUGGUAUUCCUCCGGAUAUCUACGCAUUUCACCACUCCACCCGGAAUUCUAUGUCCCUCUCUGGUCCUCAAGUUGAAUAGUUUUCAGAGGCCUUGCUCAGUUAAGCCGAGCACUGUCACUCCAAACUUACCCAACCGCCUGCACGCCCUUUACGCCCAGUAACUCCGGACAACGCUUGCCCCCUACGUAUUACCGCGGCUGCUGGCAC